rnacentral:rRNA from 1 species
UGGGGAAUUUUGGACAAUGGGCGCAAGCCUGAUCCAGCCAUGCCGCGUGCGGGAAGAAGGCCUUCGGGUUGUAAACCGCUUUUGUCAGGGAAGAAAUCUUCUGAGUUAAUACCUCGGGAGGAUGACGGUACCUGAAGAAUAAGCACCGGCUAACUACGUGCCAGCAGCCGCGGUAAUACGUAGGGUGCAAGCGUUAAUCGGAAUUACUGGGCGUAAAGCGUGCGCAGGCGGUUUUGUAAGACAGAGGUGAAAUCCCCGGGCUCAACCUGGGAACUGCCUUUGUGACUGCAAGGCUUGAGUGCGGCAGAGGGGGAUGGAAUUCCGCGUGUAGCAGUGAAAUGCGUAGAUAUGCGGAGGAAACACCGAUGGCGAAGGCAAAUCCCCCUGGGCCUGCACUGACGCUCAUGCACGAAAGCGUGGGGAGCAAAACAGGAUUAGAUACCCUGGUAGUCCACGCCCUAAAACGAUGUCAACUGGUUGUUGGGAGGGUUCCUUCUCAGUAACGUAGCUAACGCGUGAAGUUGACCGCCUGGGGGAGUACGGCCGCAAAGGUUGAAAACUC